GACGAACGCUGGCGGCGUGCCUAAUACAUGCAAGUCGAGCGAACCCGGGGUGCUUGCACCCUGAGGGUUAGCGGCGGACGGGUGAGUAACACGUGGGGAACCUGCCUUGCUGUCUGGGAUAACACCGGGAAACUGGUGCUAAUACCGGAUGUCCCCUUUCCGGCACCUGCCGGAGAGGGAAAAGGCGGCUUGGAGCCGCCCCAGCAAGAGGCGCCCGAGGCGCAUUAGUUAGUUGGCAGGGUAACGGCCUCCCAAGGCGACGAUGCGUAGCCGACCUGGGAGGGUGGUCGGCCACACUGGGACUGAGACACGGCCCAGACUCCUACGGGAGGCAGCAGUAGGGGAUCAUCCGCAAUGGACGAAAGUCUGACGGUGCAACGCCGCGUGAGUGAUGAAGGUUUUCGGAUCGUAAAGCUCUGUUGUGAGGGAAGAAUAGGAUGGGGAGGAAAUGCCCGAUCUGUGACGGUACCUCACCAGAAAGCCCCGGCUAACUACGUGCCAGCCGCCGCCGUAA
rnacentral:rRNA from 1 species